rnacentral:rRNA from 1 species
CCUACGGGAGGCAGCAGUGGGGAAUAUUGGGCAAUGGGCGCAAGCCUGACCCAGCAACGCCGCGUGAAGGAAGAAGGCUUUCGGGUUGUAAACUUCUUUUCUCAGGGACGAAGCAAGUGACGGUACCUGAGGAAUAAGCCACGGCUAACUACGUGCCAGCAGCCGCGGUAAUACGGAGGUGGCAAGCUUUAUCCGGAUUUAUUGGGUGUAAGGGGCGUGUAGGCGGGAAAGUAAGUCAGAUGUGAAAACCAUGGGCUCAACCUGUGGCCUGCAUUUGAAACUGGUUUUCUUGAGUACUGGAGAGGCGGACGGAAUUCCUAGUGUAGCGGUGAAAUGCUUAGAUAUCAGGAGGAACACCAGUGGCGAAGGCGGUCCGCUGGACAGCAACUGACGCUGAGGCGCGAAAGCGUGGGGAGCAAACAGGAUUAGAUACCCCGGUAGUC